rnacentral:misc_RNA from 1 species
GGAGCACUAAUGCGAGGGUACUUGGGAUUUCUUUCCUUCUUCAAUGUUUUUGGGCGAUGAAAUGUAACCUUUGUCCUGAUCUUGUUGGCCUUCUUCUUAAAGGUUGGACCAGACUUCACUGCUUUUGCAGCCUUUACAGCCUGUGCCUUUGGAUCAGGCUUCUUUGAACUGUCAGCUUUAGCUGGUGCCAUUGCUACUUCCGCUAAACCCUUCUAAUCACUUGAAACCCUUGGGCAAACAGCGGUCUAGGGAUUGGAAGAGCUGAGAAGAAAG